GUAGUUUUACACUGCGCGUUAUCAAAAUCUAUUUUUAGACUGUGGUGCCUGUUAUGUAAGAAUCAUGACAUUCCUGUCUGCUACAGUUAGUCAUUAUUAUUAUUUCCUGGCUUAUAUUAUUAUAGUUUCUUAGUAUUUUGUGUACAUAUAAGAUAUGGUCCGCAAAUAUCUUACUGAGACUGAGUUACAGGAAAUUGUUACUGCUAGCGAUUUUUAUGAUGAUAUAGAACAGGGAUGAAAUAGUAUCAGAAAACGAGGAUGUAUUGUUAGAUGAAGAUUUAAAUGCUGAAAACAUUCA